ACUCCUCUAGAGACUUGAAUCUCAUUUGUAUCUGCUUAAGAACUCAACUGUCCUAUGUCUGAAAAAUAUCUCCUAGCCUUUUUAGAUUCCAUAGUGGAAGCAACCCCUGAUCCCAAGAACUUGCUCUAGGAUCUGUAACAGUUCUGUGAAGUUGAUAGGAAGGAACAAACCCUCUGAGCUUGGGAGCCCACCACCUACUUGUCGUGCUGCUUGAUGACACCAAGGACCUAAUCAAGUAACUCCAGACACUGGAAUAAUAUG
rnacentral:lncRNA from 1 species